rnacentral:rRNA from 1 species
CACGGGAUGCCUUAGUACGGCGAGUGAGCGGCAAAAGCUCAAAUUUGAAAUCUGGUACCUUCGGUGCCCGAGUUGUAAUUUGGAGAGGGCAACUUUGGGGCCGUUCCUUGUCUAUGUUCCUUGGAACAGGACGUCAUAGAGGGUGAGAAUCCCGUGUGGCGAGGAGUGCGGUUCUUUGUAAAGUGCCUUCGAAGAGUCGAGUUGUUUGGGAAUGCAGCUCUAAGUGGGUGGUAAAUUCCAUCUAAAGCUAAAUAUUGGCGAGAGACCGAUAGCGAACAAGUACAGUGAUGGAAAGAUGAAAAGAACUUUGAAAAGAGAGUGAAAAAGUACGUGAAAUUGUUGAAAGGGAAGGGCAUUUGAUCAGACAUGGUGUUUUGUGCCCUCUGCUCCUUGUGGGUAGGGGAAUCUCGCAUUUCACUGGGCCAGCAUCAGUUUUGGUGGCAGGAUAAAUCCAUAGGAAUGUAGCUUGCCUCGGUAAGUAUUAUAGCCUGUGGGAAUACUGCCAGCUGGGACUGAGGACUGCGACGUAAGUCAAGGAUGCUGGCAUAAUGGUUAUAUGCCGCCCGUCUUGAAACACAGAACAAAAAAACGU